AUUGAACGCUGGCGGCAGGCCUAACACAUGCAAGUCGAGCGAGCGGCGGACGGGUGAGUAAUGUCUGGGAAACUGCCUGAUGGAGGGGGAUAACUACUGGAAACGGUAGCUAAUACCGCAUACCAUCAGAUGUGCCCAGAUGGGAUUAGCUAGUAGGUGGGGUAAAGGCUCACCUAGGCGACGAUCCCUAGCUGGUCUGAGAGGAUGACCAGCCACACUGGAACUGAGACACGGUCCAGACUCCUACGGUAGGCAGCAGUGGGUAAUAUUGCACAAUGGGCGCAAGCCUGAUGCAGCCAUGCCGCGUGUAUGAAGAAGGCCUUCGGGUUGUAAAGCACUUUCAGCGAGGAGGCGUUACUCGCAGAAGAAGCACCGGCUAACUCCGUGCCAGCAGCCGCGGUAAUAC
rnacentral:rRNA from 1 species